AAAAUAAUAAAGAUUAUUAUCAACAUAAUCAUAAAGAAAUCAAACAGGAGAGCAGUCAGUGGCAUUGUGAACGUACCGUGGUCAAGUCUGAGGAAGACUCUGGUUUGGAAACAUUGUGGCUGUUGAAGAAAAUGGCUUCCCGGUCUGAAAGGAGAAGGAGGAAAAAGACCUCACUCUUUCAUCCGGCCUUUCCCUCCACUUUACAAAACACGAUGUAUAGCUCCGGGCGGCCGAGCCAAUCAGAACGCUGUGCAGACGCAACGCUGUGGUAUGUUGCUUUAUGUGUUUGACAAGGGCUGUGCUUUUUUUUCUGCUGCAUCGCUCAGCAUUCCAGGCUGAAAGCAACUGUUCUCUGAGCUGCGUUACACAAGGCAGAAGACUACCCUGAUGGAGCUGCUGCUUUGCAUGGUGGACUAUACUGAAUCACAUGCAAAUGCUGGAGAGUGUGCCAGGGGGCAACCCUAUGUUCAAAUCUCUAUCAUGACACAUUUAUAGGGAAAACACCGCUGCGCUUUUUUAUUUUCAGCAUGCACCAACAGGGCAGAACUCAAUAGCACUCUGCUGCAUCCCUUAAAAGGGUGAAUAGGUCCAAUCACAGGGACUAUAAAGCCCUUUUAUGAGGGCUUUUAUUGGGUUCUUUGUAAGAAGCCUUGCAUCUUGUACGCACGGGCCAGUGUUGCUGUCGGCAGCCCUCCCACUUCCCCACCUGUCUCUCUCCCUCCUCGCCUCUCUGUCUUCUCACCUGCAGGUCCAGCAGGGAAGUUCUUCAGUGAAGGUCUCUCCACCACGGUGUAGGAGUCUCCCACCACGAACACCUUGUAGAGCACCGCGUUGUGGUUGAUGAAGCUCUGGAUCACACAGGGAGGCUUCACGUCCUUCAGGUCCUCUUCACUGAAGAUAAUGGCCAUCUGUGGACGGGAGGACACACCGUAAAGGAACAUAUUUGUCACAGAACAAAACUCUAGGGGCUACAGAUAAACAUUAGUUUUGUUAUCCAUUAACAUGCCAAUUGUUUUCAAGAUUAAGGGUCUGUAAAUGUGAGAAAACUGGAAGCUUGUAUCUUAAUUAUCUUGUCUGUCCGUCCCACACCCACAUAUUUUGAGUUUAAUAAGAUGUAAAUAGCAGGAAAUCCACAUAUGUGAGGGGCUGAAAACAGCCUGUUCUGCCUUUUUUAAAGAAACAUUUUUCUUUAACGAUUAAACGCUUAUCAAACAGU